rnacentral:snoRNA from 1 species
ACAUAGAUUUGGAGUUAUGACAGGCCUGUCACCCUGUUCUUCUCAUAGUGUGCCAUGCCAGAGCAAACAGUGGAACCCAACUGUUGCCUGCCAUCUCCCUACAGGCUGCUAGCAUAGAAGCAGAUUGUACAGUG